UUAGGUAAAGUUACUAAGAGCAUACGGUGGAUGCCUUGGCACCAUAAGCCGAUGAAGGACGUGGUUACCUGCGAUAUGCCUCGGAGAGGUGGAAAACAACCUUAGACCCGGGGAUUUCCGAAUGGGACAACCCUCCAGGGGUAAUGCUCUGGAAUCGUAUACUGAAUCCAUAGGUAUACGAAGACAACGAGGGGAACUGAAACAUCUAAGUACCCUCAGGAAGAGAAAACAAUAGUGAUUCCCUGAGUAGUGGCGAGCGAAACGGGAAGAGCCUAAACCGAGUAACAUGUAAGGAUGCGACCCUUGUGUUACCGGUGUUGCGGGAGCAGCUGGCCAAUUCGCAUUGCGGCCAAAGAGUUACAAAACGCAAUCAUAGUUGAAGUGUUUGGAAAGACACGCCAGAGAAGGUGAAAGCCCUGUAAGCGAAAUGAUCUGCGACUCUUGUUGUUAUCCCAAGUACCACGGAGUAAGAGAAAUUCUGUGGGAAUCUGCCAGAACCAUCUGGUAAGGCUAAAUACUCUAUGGUGACCGAUAGUGCACAAGUACCGUGAGGGAAAGGUGAAAAGAACCCUUAAGAAGGGAGUGAAAAGAAUCUGAAACCGUAUGCUUACAAUCUGUAGGAGGAAGUAGUGGCCUUCGGGCUGCUAUGACUGACUGCGUGCCUUUUGCUUAAUGAGCCUACGAGUUACUCGUACGAUGCAAGGUUAAGGACCUCAGGUCCGCAGCCGUAGCGAAAGCAAGUCUGAAAUGGGCGUGUUGAGUACCGUGCGGUAGACGCGAACCCAGGUGAUCUACCGAUGACCAGGAUGAAGUGGGAGUAAAAUCUCAUGGAGGUCCGAACCAGUGUGGGUUGAAAACCGCUUGGAUGAGUUGUCGGUAGGAGUGAAAGGCCAAUCAAACCUGGAAAUAGCUCGUACUCUCCGAAAUGUUUUUAGGAACAGCCUCGCGUGUAGUGUACCGGAGGUAGAGCACUGAUUGGGCUAGGGCCCUCACAAGGGUACCAAACCCAGACAAACUCCGAAUUCCGGAUACAUGUUCCGCGGGAGUGAGGCGGCGAGGGAUAAGCUUCGUUGCCGAGAGGGAAACAACCCAGACCAUCAGCUAAGGCCCCCAAGACUACGUUAACAGAUAAAGGAUGUCAGAUUGCUCAGACAACUAGGAUGUUGGCUUAGAAGCAGCCAUUCAUUUAAAGAGUGCGUAAUAGCUCACUAGUCAAGCGAUCAGGCGUCGAUAAUUGCCGGGACUAAACGUAGCGCCGAAGCUAUGGAAUCGUCUUUGACGAUUGGUAGGAGAGCAUUCUGUCUGCGAACCACGAAGUGGUGAUCUUCGGAUCGAAGGUGCGUCGUAAGGCGUGCUGGAGCGUACAGAAAAGAAAAUGUAGGCAUAAGUAACGAUAAACACUGUGAAAAACAGUGUCACCGAAAAUCUAAGGUUUCCUGAGCAACGUUAAUCGACUCAGGGUUAGUCGGACCCUAAGCCGAGGCCGAAAGGCGUAGGCGAUGGAAAACAGGUUAAAUAUUCCUGUACCUGUUAUUAUUUGUUUGACCGUAAGGAGGGACGCAGGAGUGAAAGGUCGGCCAGCUGUCGGAAUAGCUGGUUUAAGCACGUAGGCCGGCGAUGUAGGCAAAUCCGCAUCGUCAAGCCGAGAUGUGAAUAGGGCGCCCGUAUGGGCCACAACCGACCCUAAGCAUGCUGCCGAGAAAAGCUUCGUGCGGGAAAAUAAUGACAGACCGUACCGUAAACCGACACAGGUAGAUGAGGAGAGAAUCCUAAGGUGCUCGAGUGAGCCGUGGUUAAGGAACUCGGCAAAAUGACUCCGUAACUUCGGG
rnacentral:rRNA from 1 species